GGUCGAUUAGCUUAGUCGGUAGAGCGUGGUACUAAUACUUCAAGGGGCUUCCCUGAUGGUCACAUGCCAAGGUCGUGGGUUCGAUCCCCACAUUGACCA
rnacentral:tRNA from 1 species